rnacentral:rRNA from 1 species
UACGCAGGGGGCAAGCGUUGUUCGGAAUUACUGGGCGUAAAGGGCGCGUAGGCGGCUUAUCAAGUCAGGCGUGAAAUUCCCGGGCUCAACCUGGGGGCUGCGCUUGAUACUGAUUGGCUUGAAUGCGGGAGAGGAUAGUGGAAUUCCCAGUGUAGAGGUGAAAUUCGUAGAUAUUGGGAAGAACACCGGUGGCGAAGGCGGCUAUCUGGCCCGUAAUUGACGCUGAGGCGCGAAAGCGUGGGGAGCAAACAGG